rnacentral:rRNA from 1 species
GACGAACGCUGGCGGCGUGCCUAACACAUGCAAGUCGAACGGAAGUUUUUCUUCGGAGAAACUUUAGUGGCGAACGGGUGAGUAACGCGUGAGAAACCUGCCUUUCAGUGGGGGACAACAGUUGGAAACGACUGCUAAUACCGCAUAAUGUAUCGAUAGGGCAUCCUAAUGAUACCAAAGAUUUAUUGCUGAAAGAUGGUCUCGCGUCUGAUUAGCUAGAUGGCGGGGUAACGGCCCACCAUGGCGACGAUCAGUAGCCGGUCUGAGAGGAUGAACGGCCACAUUGGGACUGAGAUACGGCCCAGACUCCUACGGGAGGCAGCAGUGGGGAAUAUUGGGCAAUGGGGGAAACCCUGACCCAGCAACGCCGCGUGAAGGAAGAAGGCCUCGGUUGUAACUUCUUUAGUAGGUACGAAGAAACGUAGACGGUACCGUACAGAAAAAGAC